rnacentral:rRNA from 1 species
UGAGGAAUAUUGGACAAUGGGCGCAAGCCUGAUCCAGCCAUGCCGCGUGCAGGAUGACGGUCCUAUGGAUUGUAAACUGCUUUUGCACAGGAAGAAACAACGCUACGUGUAGCGUCUUGACGGUACUGUGAGAAUAAGGAUCGGCUAACUCCGUGCCAGCAGCCGCGGUAAUACGGAGGAUCCAAGCGUUAUCCGGAAUCAUUGGGUUUAAAGGGUCCGUAGGCGGUCUUAUAAGUCAGUGGUGAAAUCUCCCCGCUCAACGGGGAAACGGCCAUUGAUACUGUAAGACUUGAAUUAUUAGGAAGUAACUAGAAUAUGUAGUGUAGCGGUGAAAUGCUUAGAGAUUACAUGGAAUACCAAUUGCGAAGGCAGGUUACUACUAAUGGAUUGACGCUGAUGGACGAAAGCGUGGGUAGCGAACAGG